rnacentral:rRNA from 1 species
UACGUAGGGAGCAAGCGUUGUCCGGAUUUACUGGGCGUAAAGAGCGCGCAGGCGGCUGGUCAAGUCCGAUGUGAAAUCUCCCGGCUCAACUGGGAAACUGCAUCGGAAACUGAUCGGCUUGAAGGUGGGAGAGGGUAGUGGAAUUCCCGGUGUAGUGGUGAAAUGCGCAGAUAUCAGGAAGAACACCCGUGGCGAAGGCGGCUCUCUGGGACGGUACUGACGCUGAGACGCGAAAGCGUGGGGAGCGAACAGG